rnacentral:rRNA from 1 species
UACGGAGGGGGCGAGCGUUAUUCGGAAUUAUUGGGCGUAAAGGGCGCGUAGGCGGCUCGAUAAGUCAAAGGUGAAAUCCCUCGGCUCAACUGAGGAACUGCCUUUGAAACUGUCGAGCUUGAGUCCGGGAGGGGUAGCGGAAUUCCCAGUGUAGCGGUGAAAUGCGUAGAUAUUGGGAGGAACACCAGUGGCGAAGGCGGCUACCUGGACCGGAACUGACGCUGAGGCGGCGAAAGCGUGGGUAGCAAACGAGGA